GGAGGCAGCCUGGGACCGGCCCACGGAGUUGCAGCCGCCCAUCGCUCCCUCCUUGCGGACAUCAUGCUCCAGUUCCUGAUACCAAACCUGGCUAAAAAACUUGAAGACAUUAAAAAGGACCUGGAUGCCAAGAAGAAACCCCCUAGUUCAUGAGGCCGACUCCAGCCCUGCCUUCUGGAUUCUACUAUUGUCGAGGGCCUUCUUUACUCUGAACCAAAAGCUUUUGUUUUAAUUUCCAGCCUCAGCAGUUUUCUUCAUUGUGUUGCCUUAGAGCACAAAUGGGGCCACAAGUUAAGAACUACCCUUAAUUUUCCAACAGCAUCACUUCUUCCCUUGCUCCUUCCAGCCACUUGGAAGGCCCUGAAACUGGAAUUAUGGUGCUAGAUUAGUAAACAUGACCUUUAAUUAGUAGUCUCUCCCUUUUUCUUUGGAAUUUCUAUUACCUUUUUUCAAAAGAAAAAUUGAUAAAUUUUGUAUAGCAGAUGAGAUAUAAAUAAUGCUGAUUUCACAUUCUAGCAAUUAUAUAAUGGGUAUUUAAACAUUCGGUACUUAAUUAUGUUAUUUCAAAAUAGUAGUUAAAAUCAAGAAGCCAGUUCCUGGUGAAUUAUCCAUUGUUGUCAGGAAGCUGCAUAGUUGCUAUUGUAACCACUAUAUCAAUUUGCUAUUCAUUAACCAAGAAACAGUGUUCUGAGAACCCUGAGAACUUACAAAUAUUUAAAAUAAUGGCCGUUGUCCUCAAUAGUAUUCCUAGUCUAAUAUUCAUGUUGUUUUUUAAUGAUGUGUUUGAUCUGGUUCUUUUCCCUCGUAAGAAUCAUACUUUAUGGGAUAACAGGUGCAUGUGACAUUACCUGGUGGAUAAAUGAGAAGUUGAUUAUAAGGGAAGUUUUAUGCCUUUUUAUAUUUAAAAAAUAUGUUUACAUUAUAACUUUAUAGUGAGCCCCUGAGUGAGUGGGUUAAGGAUCUGGCAUUGCUCAGUCUCAUAGGAAGCCUUUUUGUGUUUUUUUCCUGCAAUCAGAAAUUGCUCUCUUAGUUUGUCAAAUGUAUAAUCAGUCCACAUUUUUUUAAGUGAAAAAAAUUUAAAUAGGUAACUUCCCCUUGGGUCAGUACAAAAGUGAUUUAGAAUUAAGGACUUCUCCCACCCAUGUCCUGCAGCUCCUAAUUCCUCUUCCUGGAGUCAGGCACUGUUGCCAGUUUUUUUGAAAAAGAUUCUGUCCCUAAACAAACAUGUUCAUGAGGGUUAUUAUACAAAUGAUAACAAGCUAUAUACAGAAUUUUCCUCAGUGGAGAUCAUUCCAUAUCCGUAUGUAAGGAACAAAAAACCUCUUCCCCUUUUGUGACUGCAUAAGGUUCUGUUGAAUGAAUAUGCUGCAGUUGAUUUAGUCAGCUCCUGGUGAACAUUUAGGUUGUUUCCUGUCUUUUGUUAUUAUGGUGAUAACCUUAAACCUAAUAUUGUUAUGCAUAUCUAUGCCAGGGAUAGCGCCAAGCUAAAGCCCUAGAAGUGUAGUUUACCCUGUAGUUUCUAGGGCUUUACCAAGCUAAAGCCCUCGAAGUAUAGUUUGUUGGGUAUCAGCUUCACUGAUAAUGCCAUUCCUGGAAACAUUUUAGCAGAAUUAGUAAACUGGAAGGAUGAUUUUAGAGACACCUUUUUUUCAGACACUGAUGGCACUGACAGUAAAUGUGAUUAUACAGUGAGGUGAUUCUACUUUUCUUUGAAAACGUGGAUCUUUCAAACAUGGAGAUACAUUUUGUCCCUGUCAGGUUGUCCUGGUUCGUGAGACAAAUUAGGACCUUAUUAUAGUUUGUCUUCUCCUCAGACAGAGUGUGAUCAGGGGCAAGUGGCUUAUUUCUCCAAAACUGUUGUUUUCUCUUUAAGAUGUGGAUGCAGUACCUACCUCAUAGGGCUUCCAUGAGAAACUGUUGAGAUAACAUACGUGGUGUGUAGCACAGUGCUUUGCAGAUUGUCCAAUAAAUAGUAGAUAUUAGUUGGAACGUGCUGCCUUUGGUCAGAAUACUUUUUUCUGCACUCACUUCUGGAACCAGUUUAUGAACCAUGCAAAAUGUGUCAUUCUCUUUGUAAAAUGAAAAUCUGUAGUAUCCACUGUGAUCAUACCACCUGGCUUACCAGGUUUGAUCUUAAAUGACUGAAUUGUUAGCAGAAUGAACUACAGCCUUGAAGGAUAAUGGUUUACCAUCUUGAUAGGUAUUCAAACUUUCACAAGCUUAGAAAGCUGUUUUCAAAGAGGGAUUCAUUGUUAUCAGCCAUGGAGCCUUGAUGCUUGUGUGUAUGGUCUCCCAGGUGGCUUCUUUGGGGAUGUGAGUCACUUAGAUGUUGCAUGAUGAGGUCUCUAUAAUUGUACUUGUAAAUGAGGCACGAUUGGACUUGGAGCUUCCCCUGGGAGUGACACUUAACCUUGCUGACGGGAUCAUCUCCACCAGUGGGAGCCACCCAGCUAAUCACCUUAAACGUGUGAACAGCAACACAAAGAGUGCAGGCCAACUUCAUGGUCACCAUUCAGAUUCCCUCUCCCAUUUCAGGCUCUUGUAGGAGUGAAAGGGAUCUGGAGUUCUCAGGCAGGAUUAUCUUCACGGAGACAUAUUGUUGGGGGACCUAGAACCAUUAUGGGUUUUAGGCGGUGUGGUGGUUGUGAUCGUGGUACUCAAAGUUAACAUUCUCUGGGUGUUUUGUAGAGGUCCCUGCAGAGGGGUGGGAAGAACUACUGCAAGACAUGCCUUUUUUUUUUUCCUUUAAAAAAAUCUUGAGGAGUUCCUGUUGUGGCACAGUGGAAAUGAAUGCGACUAGUAUCCAUGAGGAUGUGGGUUUGAUCCUUGGCCUCCCUCAGUGGGUUAAGGAUCUGACAUUGCUGUGGGCUGUGGUGUGGGUUGCAGAUGUGGCUCGGACCCACUGUUGCUAUGGCUGUGGCAUAGGCCAGCAGCUGCAGCUCCUAGUGGACCCCCAGCCUGGGAACUUCCAUAUGCUG
rnacentral:lncRNA from 1 species